GACGAACGCUGGCGGCGUGCUUAACACAUGCAAGUCGAACGGAGCGAAUGAAAGCUUGCUUUUAUAAGCUUAGUGGCAAACGGGUGAGUAACACGUAGGCAACCUGCCGACAGGAUGGGGACAACAUUCCGAAAGGAAUGCUAAUACCGAAUGAAGUCGAGGGAGGGCAUCCUCCUCCGAUGAAAGAUGGCCUCUAUAUAUAAGCUAUCACCUGUCGAUGGGCCUGCGUCUGAUUAGCUGGUAGGUGAGGUAACGGCUCACCUAGGCGACGAUCAGUAGCCGGUCUGAGAGGAUGAACGGCCACAUUGGGACUGAGACACGGCCCAGACUCCUACGGGAAGCAGCAGUGGGGAAUCUUCCGCAAUGGGCGCAAGCCUGACGGAGCAACGCCGCGUGAGUGAAGAAGGUCUUCGGAUCGUAAAAGCUCUGUUGAUGGGGACGA
rnacentral:rRNA from 1 species